rnacentral:rRNA from 1 species
GGGGAAUAUUGGACAAUGGGCGCAAGCCUGAUCCAGCCAUGCCGCGUGAGUGAUGAAGGCCCUAGGGUUGUAAAGCUCUUUCACCGGUGAAGAUAAUGACGGUAACCGGAGAAGAAGCCCCGGCUAACUUCGUGCCAGCAGCCGCGGUAAUACGAAGGGGGCUAGCGUUGUUCGGAAUUACUGGGCGUAAAGCGCACGUAGGCGGAUCGGUCAGUUAGGGGUGAAAUCCCGGGGCUCAACCCCGGAACUGCCUUUAAUACUGCCGGUCUUGAGUCCGAGAGAGGUGAGUGGAAUUCCGAGUGUAGAGGUGAAAUUCGUAGAUAUUCGGAGGAACACCAGUGGCGAAGGCGGCUCACUGGCUCGGUACUGACGCUGAGGUGCGAAAGCGUGGGGAGCAAAC